UGGGGAAUCUUAGACAAUGGGGGCAACCCUGAUCUAGCCAUGCCGCGUGAGUGAUGAAGGCCUUAGGGUUGUAAAGCUCUUUCAGCUGGGAAGAUAAUGACGGUACCAGCAGAAGAAGCCCCGGCUAACUCCGUGCCAGCAGCCGCGGUAAUACGGAGGGGGCUAGCGUUGUUCGGAAUUACUGGGCGUAAAGCGCACGUAGGCGGACUGGAAAGUUGGGGGUGAAAUCCCGUGGCUCAACCUCGGAACUGCCUUCAAAACUAUCAGUCUGGAGUUCGAGAGAGGUGAGUGGAAUUCCGAGUGUAGAGGUGAAAUUCGUAGAUAUUCGGAGGAACACCAGUGGCGAAGGCGGCUCACUGGCUCGAUACUGACGCUGAGGUGCGAAAGCGUGGGGAGCAAACA
rnacentral:rRNA from 1 species